GAUGAACGCUGGCGGCGUGCCUAAUACAUGCAAGUCGAGCGAACGGACGAGAAGCUUGCUUUUCUGAUGUUAGCGGCGGACGGGUGAGUAACACGUGGAUAACCUACCUAUAAGACUGGGAUAACUUCGGGAAACCGGAGCUAAUACCGGAUAAUAUUUUGAACCGCAUGGUUCAAAAGUGAAAGACGGUCUUGCUGUCACUUAUAGAUGGAUCCGCGCUGCAUUAGCUAGUUGGUAAGGUAACGGCUUACCAAGGCAACGAUGCAUAGCCGACCUGAGAGGGUGCUCGGCCACCCUGGAACUGAGACCCGGCCCAGACCCCUACGGGGGGCAGCAGUAGGGAAUCUUCCGCAAGGGGCGAAAGCCUGACGGAGCAACGCCGCGUGAGUGAUGAAGGUCUUCGGAUCGUAAAACUCUGUUAUUAGGGAAGAACAUAUGUGUAAGUAACUGGGCCCUUUUUGGCGGUACCAAAUCAAAAAGCCCCGGCUAACUACGU
rnacentral:rRNA from 1 species